AUAAUGAUACUCCUUGAGAUAGCCUGCCCGCAGGGGAGGCGGCUAAGAUGCCGGUGA
rfam:Catabacter hongkongensis strain HKT16 2806ref_2ab_c6, whole genome shotgun sequence.